AUUGAACGCUGGCGGCAGGCCUAACACAUGCAAGUCGAGCGAGCGGCGGACGGGUGAGUAAUGUAUGGGGACUGCCCGAUAGAGGGGGAUAACUACUGGAAACGGUGGCUAAUACCGCAUACCAGCGGAUAACCCAUAUGGGAUUAGCUAGUAGGUGGGGUAAAGGCUCGCCUAGGCGACGAUCCCUAGCUGGUCUGAGAGGAUGAUCAGCCACACUGGAACUGAGACACGGCCCAGACUCCUACGGAGGCAGCAGUGGGGAAUAUUGCACAAUGGGCGGAAGCCUGACGUAGCCAUGCCGCGUGUAUGAAGAGGGCCUUAGGGUUUUAAAGUACAUUCAGCGGGGAGGCGUUACCCGCAGAAGAAGCACCGGCUAACUCCGUGCCAGCAGCCGCGGUAAUAC
rnacentral:rRNA from 1 species